rnacentral:rRNA from 1 species
CCUACGGGAGGCAGCAGUCGGGAAUAUUGGACAAUGGGCGCAAGCCUGAUCCAGCCAUGCCGCGUGUGUGAAGAAGGCCUUAGGGUUGUAAAGCACUUUCAGGAGUGAAGAAAGGCGUUGGGUGAAUAAUCUGACGUUUUGACGU